rnacentral:snRNA from 1 species
UCCCAAUGGAGAUGGUCAGUUUAC